GACGAACGCUGGCGGCGUGCUUAACACAUGCAAGUCGAACGGAAAGGCCCUGCUUUUGUGGGGUGCUCGAGUGGCGAACGGGGGAGUAACACGUGAGUAACCUGCCCUUGACUUUGGGAUAACUUCAGGAAACUGGGGCUAAUACCGGAUAGGAGCUCCUGCUGCACGGUGGGGGUUGGAAAGUUUCGGCGGUUGGGGAUGGACUCGCGGCUCAUCAGCUUGUUGGGGGGGUAGUGGCUUACCAAGGCUUUGACGGGUAGCCGGCCUGAGAGGGUGGCCGGCCACAUUGGGACUGAGGUACGGCCCAGACUCCUACGGGAGGCAGCAGUGGGGAAUAUUGCGCAGUGGGCGGGCGCCUGAUGCGGCAGCGCCGCGUGCGGGAUGACGGCCUUCGGGUUGUAAACCGCUUUCGCCUGUGACGAAGCGUGAGUGACGGUAAUGGGUAAAGAAGCACCGGCUAACUACGUG
rnacentral:rRNA from 1 species